UGGGGAAUAUUGCACAAUGGGCGCAAGCCUGAUGCAGCCAUGCCGCGUGUGUGAAGAAGGCCUUCGGGUUGUAAAGCACUUUCAGCGAGGAGGAAGGCAUUAAGGUUAAUAACCUUAGUGAUUGACGUUACUCGCAGAAGAAGCACCGGCUAACUCCGUGCCAGCAGCCGCGGUAAUACGGAGGGUGCAAGCGUUAAUCGGAAUUACUGGGCGUAAAGCGCACGCAGGCGGUUUGUUAAGUCAGAUGUGAAAUCCCCGAGCUUAACUUGGGAACUGCAUUUGAAACUGGCAAGCUAGAGUCUUGUAGAGGGGGGUAGAAUUCCAGGUGUAGCGGUGAAAUGCGUAGAGAUCUGGAGGAAUACCGGUGGCGAAGGCGGCCCCCUGGACAAAGACUGACGCUCAGGUGCGAAAGCGUGGGGCAGCAAACAGGAUUAGAUACCCUGGUAGUCCAGCGCUGUAAACGAUGUCGAUUUGGAGGUUGUGGG
rnacentral:rRNA from 1 species